rnacentral:rRNA from 1 species
CCUACGGGUGGCAGCAGUGGGGGAUAUUGGACAAUGGGGGGAACCCUGAUCCAGCGACGCCGCGUGAGUGAAGAAGUAUUUCGGUAUGUAAAGCUCUGUCAGCAGGGAAGAAAGAAAUGACGGUACCUGACCAAGAAGCCCCGGCUAACUACGUGCCAGCAGCCGCGGUAAUACGUAGGGGGCAAGCGUUAUCCGGAAUUAGUGGGUGUAAAGGGAGGGUAGACGGUUAAGUAAGUCUGGAGUGAAAGGCCGGGGCUCAACCCCGGGACUGCUCUGGAAACUAUUUAACUUGAGUGCAGGAGAGGUAAGCGGAAUUCCUAGUGUAGCGGUGAAAUGCGUAGAUAUUAGGAGGAACACCAGUGGCGAAGGCGGCUUACUGGACUGUAACUGACGUUGAGGCUCGAAAGCGUGGGGAGCAAACAGGAUUAGAUACCCGAGUAGUC